AGAUCGAACUAUAGAGUUUGAUCCUGGCUCAGAUUGAACGCUGGCGGAAUGCUUUACACAUGCAAGUCGAACGGUAGAGGGGGCAACC
rnacentral:rRNA from 1 species